UACGUAGGGUGCGAGCGUUAUUCGGAAUUACUGGGCGUAAAGCGUGCGCAGGCGGUUCGCUAAGACCGAUGUGAAAUCCCCGGGCUUAACCUGGGAACUGCAUUGGUGACUGGCGGGCUAGAGUGUGGCAGAGGGGGGUAGAAUUCCACGUGUAGCAGUGAAAUGCGUAGAGAUGUGGAGGAAUACCGAUGGCGAAGGCAGCCCCCUGGGCUAACACUGACGCUCAUGCACGAAAGCGUGGGGAGCAAACAGG
rnacentral:rRNA from 1 species